rnacentral:miRNA from 2 species
GGCUGUGUCACUUCGAGCCAGC